UGUGUCCUUUAGAAGUCCUGGUCACAGA
rnacentral:piRNA from 1 species